GAUGAACGCUGGCGGCGUGCCUAAUACAUGCAAGUCGAGCGAACAGACGAGGAGCUUGCUCCUCUAACGUUAGCGGCGGACGGGUGAGUAACACGUGGAUAACCUACCUAUAAGACUGGGAUAACUUCGGGAAACCGGAGCUAAUACCGGAUAAUAUAUUGAACCGCAGGGUUCAAUAGUGAAAGACGGUUUUGCUGUCACUUAUAGAUGGAUCCGCGCCGCAUUAGCUAGUUGGUAAGGUAACAGCUUACCAAGGCAACGAUGCGUAGCCGACCUGAGAGGGUGAUCGGCCACACUGGAACUGAGACACGGUCCAGACUCCUACGGGAGGCAGCAGUAGGGAAUCUUCCGCAAUGGGCGAAAGCCUGACGGAGCAACGCCGCGUGAGUGAUGAAGGUCUUCGGAUCGUAAAACUCUGUUAUUAGGGAAGAACAAAUGUGUAAGUAACUAUGCACGUCUUGACGGUACCUAAUCAGAAAGCCACGGCUAACUACGUG
rnacentral:rRNA from 1 species